rnacentral:rRNA from 1 species
UACGAAGGGGGCUAGCGUUGCUCGGAAUCACUGGGCGUAAAGGGUGCGUAGGCGGGUCUUUUAAGUCAGGGGUGAAAUCCUGGAGCUCAACUCCAGAACUGCCUUUGAUACUGAAGAUCUUGAGUUCGGGAGAGGUGAGUGAAACUGCGAGUGUAGAGGUGAAAUUCGUAGAUAUUCGCAAGAACACCAGUGGCGAAGGCGGCUCACUGGCCCAGUACUGACGCUGAGGUGCGAAAGCGUGGGUAGCAAACAGG